rnacentral:rRNA from 1 species
AGUGAACGCUGGCGGUAGGCCUAAUACAUGCAAGUCGAACGGCAGCACAGUAAGAGCUUGCUCUUACUGGUGGCGAGUGGCGGACGGGUGAGGAAUACAUCGGAAUCUACUUUUUCGUGGGGGAUAACGUAGGGAAACUGACGCUAAUACCGCAUACUACCUACGGGUGAAAGCAGGAGAUCUUCGGACCUUGCGCGAUUGAAUUAGCUGAUGUCGGAUUAGCUAGUUGGCUGGGUAAAGGCCCACCAAGGCGACGAUCCGUAGCUGGUCUGAGAGGAUGAUCAGCCACACUGGAACUGAGACACGGUCCAGACUCCUACGGGAGGCAGCAGUGGGGAAUCUUGGACAAUGGGCGAAAGCCUGAUCCAGCAAUACCGCGUGGGUGAAGAAGGCCUUCGGGUUGUAAAGCCCUUUUGUUGGGAAAGAAAAGCAGCAGGUUAAUCCCCCGAUGUUCUGACGGUACCCAAAGAAUAAGCACCGGCUAACUUCGUG